GGGUCAGUAGGUUGGUCGUGCCACCGGUACGUACUGGUCACACUGAUUCCUCCUUCCUGAAGAACCGUAAUGCCAUUAAUUUGGUGUUGCGGGGAAACAGGACUGUUACUUUGAAAAAAUUAGAGUGUUUAAAGCAAGCUAACGCUUGAAUACAUUAGCACGGAAUAAUGAAAUAGGACGAUCGAUCCUAUUUUGUUGGUUUCUAGGAUUGACGUA
rnacentral:rRNA from 1 species